rnacentral:lncRNA from 1 species
AUGUGCCAGCAAAUUUGGAAAACUCAGCAGUGGCCAGAGGACGGGAAAGCGUCAGUUUUCAUUGCAAUUCCAAAGAAAGGCAAUGCAAAGGAAUGUUCAAACUACCACAAAAUUGCACUCAUCUCACAUGGUAGUAAAGUAAUGCUCAAAAUUCUCCAAGCCAGGCUUCAGCAAUACGUGAACCGUGAACUCCCUGAUGUUCAAGCUGGUUUUAGAAAAGGCAGAGGAACCAGAGAUAAAAUUGGCAACAUCCGCUGGAUCAUUGCAAAAGCAAGAGAGUUCCAGAAAAACAUCUAUUUGUGCUUUAUUGACUAUGCCAAAGCCUUUGACUGUGUGGAUCACAAUAAACUGUGGAAAAUUCUGAAAGAGAUGGGAAUACCAGACCACCUAACCUGCCUCUUGAGAAAUCUGUAUGCAGGUCAGGAAGCAACAGUUAGAACAGGAAGUGGAACAACAGACAGGUUCCAAAUAGGAAAAGGAGUACAUCAAGACUGUGUAUUGUCACCCUGCUUAUUUAACUUCUAUGCAGAGUACAUCAUAAGAAACGCUAGACUGGAAGAAACACAAGCUGGAAUCAAGAUUGCCAGGAGAAAUAUCAAUAACCUCAGAUAUGCAGAUGACACCACCCUUAUGGCAGAGAGUGAAGAGGAGCUAAAAAGCCUCUUGAUGAAAGUGAAAGUGGAGAGUGAAAAAGUUGGCUUAAAGCUCAACAUUCAGAAAAUGAAGAUCAUGGCAUCCGGUCCCAUCACUUCAUGGGAAAUAGAUGGGGAAACAGGGGAAAUAGAUGGGGAAACAGUGGAAACAGUGUCAGACUUUAUUUUUCUGGGCUCCAAAAUCACUGAAGAUGGUGACUGCAGCCUUGAAAUUAAAAGACACUUAGUCCUUGGAAGAAAAGUUAUGACCAACCUAGAUAGUAUAUUCAAAAGCAGAGACAUUACUUUGCCGACUAAGGUCCGUCUAGUCAAGGCUAUGGUUUUUCCUGUGGUCAUGUAUGGAUGCGAGAGUUGGACUGUGAAGAAGGCUGAGUGCUGA